rnacentral:piRNA from 1 species
UGGACAAUCCCCUACAACUGUUCUGGGA